GAUGAACGCUGGCGGCGUGCCUAAUACAUGCAAGUCGAGCGAACGGACGAGAAGCCUGCUUCUCUGAUGUUAGCGGCGGACGGGUGAGUAACACGUGGAUAACCUACCUAUAAGACUGGGAUAACUUCGGGAAACCGGAGCUAAUACCGGAUAAUAUUUUGAACCGCAUGGUUCAAAAGUGAAAGACGGUCUUGCUGUCACUUAUAGAUGGAUCCGCGCUGCAUUAGCUAGUUGGUAAGGUAACGGCUUACCAAGGCAACGAUGCAUAGCCGACCUGAGAGGGUGAUCAGCCACACUGGAACUGAGACACGGUCCAGACUCCUACGGGAGGCAGCAGUAGGGAAUCUUGCGCAAUGGGCGAAAGCCUGACGGAGCAACGCCGCGUGAGUGAUGAAGGUCUUCGGAUCGUAAAACUCUGUUAUUAGGGAAGAACAUAUGUGUAAGUAAAUGUGCACAUCUUGACGGUACCUAAUCAGAAAGCCACGGCUAACUACGUG
rnacentral:rRNA from 1 species